rnacentral:tRNA from 1 species
GCCGGGAUAGUCUAGUGGUUAUGACGUCUGCCUCACACGCAAAUGGUAGCGAGUUCAAUCCUCGUUCCUGGUA